rnacentral:rRNA from 1 species
CAGUCGCCGCGGGAAUACAGAGGAUGCAAGCGUUAUCCGGAAUGAUUGGGCGUAAAGCGUCUGUAGGUGGCUUUUCAAGUCCGCCGUCAAAUCCCAGUGCUCAACCCUGGACAGGCGGUGGAAACUACCAAGCUGGAGUACGGUAGGGGCAGAGGGAAUUUCCGGUGUAGCGGUGAAAUGCGUAGAUAUCGGAAGGAACACCUGUGGCGAAAGCGGCUCACUGGACCAUAACUGACGCUGAUGCACGAAAGCUAGGGGAGCAAACAGGAUUAGAUACCCCUGUAGUCCCUGUCUCUUAUAA